rnacentral:rRNA from 1 species
AUUGAACGCUGGCGGCAGGCUUAACACAUGCAAGUCGAGCGAGCGGCGGACGGGUGAGAAAUGUCUGGGAAACUGCCUGCUGGAGGGGGAAAACUACUGGAAACGGUAGCUAAUACCGCAUACCAUCAGCAGUGCCCAGAUGGGCUUAGAUGGUAGGUGGGGUAAUGGCUCACCUAGGACACGAUCCAUAGCUGGUCUGAGAGGAUGACCAGCAACACUGGAACUGAGACACGGUCCAGACUCCUACGGGAGGCAGCAGUGGGGAAUAUUGCACAAUGGGCGCAAGCCUGAUGCAGCCAUGCCGCGUGUGUGAAGAAGGCCUUCGGGUUGUAAAGCACUUUCAGCGAGGAGGCGUUACUCGCAGAAGAAGCACCGGCUAACUCCGUGCCAGCAGCCGCGGUAAUUC